GUACUGGCUUCUGCAGCAUAUAUACUAAAAUUGGAACAAUGCUGAGAAGAUUUGCAUGGCUCCUGCGCAAGGAUGACACGCAAAUUCGUGAAGCGUUCCAAAUUUUU
ensembl:snRNA U6 U6 spliceosomal RNA